UGGUACAUUGAUGCAGAUCACAUGAUCACGUCUGCUCUCUCCACAGAGUCUCUUAAGUCUUUAUGUCUGUAUAUAUAUCUUGAUCUGUAUAACUGACCCCCGCUGGCAAUAACAAGGGAAGGAAACACAGAAUGUUAUAAAGAGCUGCACCGUCCCACUGACUGCAGCAGGUUAGACAGCUGCUGUGAUUAGGUAGCUGCACCCCUGAGACCAACUAACAAACUUUGAAAACCGACACACUUGUCCAUUUUAUGGAUAUGGAUAUCUCAACAAUGUUUGAGUCGUCAAGAAGGAGUUCAGAUUAAUCAGGUUUCUUGUUCAUCGUCCGUGGAUAAACUACACCAACAUCAUCCAAUGGCAGAACAACCAAAGACUGAGUGGGAGAGUGCACUCUGUGACUGCUUUGAGGACGCAAGUUCUUGUAAGAAUCAAUUCCACAACUUUGACAAAAUUAUGUUAUUUUGUCUCAUUUUUAUGUCCUUCUCUAUCAAGUCCCUUUUGAGUUUCUACCACUCUGUCGGUGCAUCUGUGUGUU